CCUACGGGAGGCAGCAGUGAGGAAUAUUGGUCAAUGGGCGCGAGCCUGAACCAGCCAAGUAGCGUGAAGGAUGACUGCCCUACGGGUUGUAAACUUCUUUUAUAAAGGAAUAAAGUGAGGCACGCGUGCCUUUUUGCAUGUACUUUAUGAAUAAGGAUCGGCUAACUCCGUGCCAGCAGCCGCGGUAAUACGGAGGUUGCGAGCGUUAUUCGGAAUUAUUGGGUUUAAAGGGAGCGUAGAUGGGUUGUAAAGUCAGUUGUGAAAGUUUGCGGCUCAACCGUAAGAAUGCAAAUAAUACUGGCUGUCUUGAGUGCAGUUGAGGUAAGCGGAAUUCGUGGUGUAGCGGUGAAAUGCUUAGAGAUCACGAAGAACACCAGUGGCGAAGGCAGCUUACUAAACUGCCACUGACAUUGAUGCACGAGAGUGUGGGUAUCAAACAGGAUUAGAUACCCGAGUAGUC
rnacentral:rRNA from 1 species